rnacentral:rRNA from 1 species
CCUACGGGGGACAGCAGUGAGGAAUCUUGGUCAAUGGGCGCGAGCCUGAACCAGCCACGUAGCGUGAAUGAUGACUGCCCUACGGUUUGUAAACUUCUUUUAUAAAGGAAUAAAGUCAGGCACGUGAGUCUUCACGUAUGUACUUUAUGUAUAAGGAACGGCUAACCUCGCGCCAGCAGCUGCGGUAAUACGGAGGAUCCGAGCGUUAUCCGGACUUAUUGGGUUUAAAGGGAGCGUAGAUGGGUUGUUAAGUCAGUUGUGAAAGUUUGCGGCUCAACCGUACAAGUGCAAUUGAUACUGGCAGCCUUGAGUGCAGUUGAGGUAGGCGGAAUUCGUGGUGUAGCGGUGAAAUGCUUAGAUAUAUCGAAGAACUCCGAUUGCGAAGGCAGCUUACUAAUCUGCCACUGACAUUGAGGCUCGAAAGUGUGGGUAGCAAACAGGAUUAGAUACCCCGGUAGUC